rnacentral:pre_miRNA from 1 species
AAUAAAUCAAUCUUUCAUCUUUUACCUAUAAUGUUUUACUCUUCGUCUUAUUUGAAAAAACUUACGAUUAAUAUUUUUAUUUUUAUUAGAUGAUAAAUCGUGAAUAAUACUCUACGUGUGACUAAUUUUUUUUAUAAUUUCUUAAAUUUUUUUAAAUAAAACGGAUGGUCAAACUCUGGACACAGAAACC